GCCUGCGCGGCGGAUGAGCCGGAGGCGCCGAAGGGCCGGCGGAGCAGCAGAAGAUGAAGGAGCAACGGGAGCGGUGGAGGCGGCGCACGGUGCGGCGGAUGAGCGCGGCCGAGCAAGGCCCCCAGCGCGCCCAUAGAAACAAGGAAUGAUUCUCAUCUUCCUCAGAAAUGACUCCAUGUUGCCAACUGAGCUUAUUUCAGUGCCUGCUGCACCUUCUGCAAGCAGCAUCUCCCAGUCACGAACAAAGCAGGUGGGGCAAUGGACCUCAGGUCCUCAGGUCCCACCUGUGCAACAGGACAGCCACCAGAGGGUACAGCAGAAACAAGAUGGCAUGCUUGGUUUCAUCUGAUUCAACUAGAUCACCAAAUGAGAAACAUGAAGUCACUACCCCAAGGGGCCUGUCAUUGAACUGACAAAGAGUGUGGUGGGGGAUAAAAUGA